CCCUUAGAUGUCCUGGGCCGCACGCGCGUUACACUGAUGCAUUCAACGAGCUUAUAACCUUGGCCGAGAGGCCUGGGCAAUCUUGUUAACGUGCAUCGUGAUAGGGAUAGAUUAUUGAAAUUAUUAAUCUUGAACGAGGAAUUCCUAGUAAACGCAGAUCAUCAAUCUGCAUUGAUUACGUCCCUGCCCUUUGUACACACCGCCCGUCGCACCUCCCGAUUGGAUGGUCCGGUGAAGCCUCGGGAUUGUGGUUCUUGCCGCUUUAUUGUGGCGUGACCGCGAGAACUUGUCUAAACCUUAUCAUCUAGAGGAAGGUGAAGUCGUAACA
rnacentral:rRNA from 1 species